AAGGUUACACUGUCUCCUUUUUCUAAUCAGUAAAACUAAUCUUCCCGUGAAGAAGCGGGGAUCCUUAUAUAAGACGAGAAGACCCUAUGGAGCUUUAAACGAAAUAACAUCUACCAACUCAACCAACAAUUUCAGAAAAUUAACACUAAAUUUGGUAUAAUGAUUACUAGUUUUAGGUUGGGGUGACCGCGGAGCAAAAAACAACCUCCGCAUUGAAUGGACCUACACUCCUAAACAAAAACCCACAACUUUAUGUAUCAACAUAUUGACAUCCAUUGACCCAUUAAUUUGAUCAACGAACCAAGUUACCCUAGGGAUAACAGCGCAAUCCAUUUCAAGAGCCCCUAUCGACAAAUGG
rnacentral:rRNA from 1 species